rnacentral:rRNA from 1 species
UACGAAGGGGGCUAGCGUUGCUCGGAAUCACUGGGCGUAAAGCGCACGUAGGCGGAUUGCUAAGUCAGGGGUGAAAUCCUGGAGCUCAACUCCAGAACUGCCUUUGAUACUGGCGAUCUUGAGUCCGGGAGAGGUGAGUGGAACUGCGAGUGUAGAGGUGAAAUUCGCAGAUAUUCGCAAGAACACCAGUGGCGAAGGCGGCUCACUGGCCCGGUACUGACGCUGAGGCACGAAAGCGUGGGGAGCAAACAGG